CAGCAACAACCUUUAACUCCGCUAUGCAGGUAAAAGAGUUACGCAAAACCUUUAGACGCUGAGAGGAUGAUUUGUUUCAAGCUAUUUACUUUACUCCCUCAGGUUUUUAACAAAGGAAUCUCGAUGGCUAUUUGAUGGCCUGCAGCUACAGGAUGAUGUUUUUCUGCACUGCAUGUCAGUCUUUGACUUAUCGAGAACAGGAUGUACUUGAACUAAAUGCUCACAUCGGCAUGAUGACAUUCAGGAGCUUCCUCCGGCUCUGCGUGGUUGGCAGUGAUGGUAACAGGUCCGCUGUAGUGGACGAGGAUGCUGUUUCAGAGCAGAGUCACUGAGACACUGAUGCUAAUGAGGCAUUAGCUUAAGCCUAUAAUGCAGAGCAUGGCAGUUUAACAUAGAGGGAGGCCCUCAGCACACGACCAAUCUGACUCACUGGAUUUGGGAUGAUACCGCUGGGGGCCUAAAAGCUACAAAACACACAUUCAAACACAGACACACACACUGAUGCAUUGUUUACCCAAUCUAAUCAUAUAUGCAUUAUUAUAUUUGAUUAUUAGCUGGAGUAUCACUUGCAUUAAAAUGGUCAAAUUCAGACAUAAUAAAUAUUAGCACGAUAUAGUAAGACUGCUUUUUCAUUUUCAGUUCACCCAAAAAUGGUCCAAUAGCAUCUGCACAUUGUCACAUAACUGCUGCAGGAUGUCAGGGAGUAAGAAUCAUUAUAGAAUUAACAUUAGUCACAGAAGAGGUGCAAUAGUUACUGGCCCACAGGCAAGUGAGAAAAUACAUGCAUUCUGAGUAUUCCUUAUUCCUCACUUCAUCCCCUCAUGGAAAUGAGGAAACUAUAACUAUUUAGAAGUAGGUAUACUCUGUAUACCUGCGUGUACCCUGCACUGCACCACUGAUAACUGCUACAUUAACUUGACCGGGCUCCGACGAAGCACUACGGAACAACAUCUAUAGAAAAGUACAUAGUACUUAAAAUGUUGUGUGUCAAGGUAUAUGGAGGGAAUGGUAUUUAUUGAUUUCUUGCCAAAAAAUGAAUUUAUUUUCAUUUUGACUUUAAAAGCUGACGUGGAGGCACAAACAUGCUGACAAACACGUAGGCCUACUGAUCUUGAUCUUGAAACUGAAGAUAAAUAUUCUACAUUCAUCCUCUUAAAGGACCAGUGUGUAGGAUUCAGUGGCAUCUAAUGGUGAAGUUGCAGACUGCUUCUAACUGAACACUGCUCUCGUCUGUAUUUGACAACUGGGUAAUGAGAACAGGCUGUGAAGUGUGUAGGAAAAACUACGAAACACAAAAGCACCUCUCUACAGCCUGUUCUGGGCUCCUGUAGAAACAUGGCGUUUCUUAUUUCAGGUGAUUAUACACGAAUGAAAACAUAUGAAUACAUGUGAAUAUUAUAUUCCAUUUCUGCCAAUAGAUCCUCCUAAAUGUUACACACUGGACCUUUAAAAUUAUGCCCUAGACAAACACAGACACGCGAUGGUUUGUCAGUCUUUUCCUACCCAGAACAUAUUUUAUCUUUCUUUAAAGAGCUUUAUUUCCAUGGGGAUUGUAUAAUUUGACAUGUAAUAUUACUUCAAUGCUCAGAGUAUCUGAAUUUGAAGAAGAAUGAAAGAACAAAUGAAAAGCAUUGCUUGAAAGACUCAGAUCAUGCUAUACAGCGUUGUCCCCUCAGAUAAUCUUAUUUCCCCCCUAUACAUUCCUCUAAUCUCAUCUCUGUAAACGUAUUAGUGCAGCUCUAUCUGUAAAGGAGAGCUGUGAAACCAGCACCUCCUCUGAGCCUGUUCUCGGUCUUAAGGUUAAACAGCUAUAUGAAAAGUGAUUUGUGUCAGUCUGCAUUAAAGUUUUAACACUCGGGGUAAUGCUUAAAUGUGGACGUCCGAAUGAGGACCUUCUGUGUAUUUAACAUGAAUGUAAUCAGCUUGUAGUCUUGUAAUGUAACCUGUCUGCCUGCGUCUGUUAAAGUCUGUUUCAAUGCUUCUUUAAACAGCAGCAGCUCUGAGUCUGAGCCAAGUUUCCCCUCAGGGUACUAUAAAGUACAAUAAAUUCUAUCUUAUCUUAUCUUUCCAUUAGUGUGAGCGUGUUGCCUAUGAAUGAAUGAAGACAAGAAUUAUUUCAUGCUCACUCCUGUUGGACUACAGGCUUUUAGUUCAUCUUUCAAAUUCCCUUUUAAACCCAGACUUUUAUGAACUUUGCUCUAAACCUCCGGUACUCGCUGCACUGCCAAAUGAGAAAAACUAUCCAAAUCCAUCUGCUUAAAGUCUAACAUGAACUUCUGGCAUUUAACCUUUUACUAGCUGCAGGAUGCUAGGCUAAUAGAACAUUAGCGGGCUGCUUAAUAUGUAUAUUAAUAGAUUAGACUUUUGGCGUGUUUGCAGCGUAUUUCAGUCCUUCCAAGCAUUCUUCCAGCAUUCCUCGACCUGUCACUGUACCUACAGUGGCAAUUAACUGACUACGCAAAUGGAUGCUUGCAGUUCUGGUUGAUUACUGAGCUCUCUAAGCCAUGCAGAUUUUAAUGACAGCUUGAGUUUGUAUGCAUGUGGGUCACUGAGGCCUCGGAUCUGCUUCAGCCUCCAGCG
rnacentral:lncRNA from 15 species